rnacentral:rRNA from 1 species
GACUGGGAUAACACCUGGAAACAGAUGCUAAUACCGGAUAACAACACUAGACGCAUGUCUAGAGUUUGAAAGAUGGUUCUGCUAUCACUCUUGGAUGGACCUGCGGUGCAUUAGCUAGUUGGUAAGGUAACGGCUUACCAAGGCAAUGAUGCAUAGCCGAGUUGAGAGACUGAUCGGCCACAUUGGGACUGAGACACGGCCCAAACUCCUACGGGAGGCAGCAGUAGGGAAUCUUCCACAAUGGACGAAAGUCUGAUGGAGCAACGCCGCGUGAGUGAAGAAGGGUUUCGGCUCGUAAAGCUCUGUUGGUAGUGAAGAAAGAUAGAGGUAGUAACUGGCCUUUAUUUGACGGCAAUUACUUAGAAAGUCACGGCUAACUACGUGCCAGCAGCCGCGGUAAUACGUAGGUGGCAAGCGUUGUCCGGAUUUAUUGGGCGUAAAGCGAGUGCAGGCGGUUCAAUAAGUCUGAUGUGAAAGCCUUCGGCUCAACCGGAGAAUUGCAUCAGAAACUGUUGAACUUGAGUGCAGAAGAGGAGAGUGGAACUCCAUGUGUAGCGGUGGAAUGCGUAGAUAUAUGGAAGAACACCAGUGGCGAAGGCGGCUCUCUGGUCUGCAACUGACGCUGAGGCUCGAAAGCAUGGGUAGCGAACAGGAUUAGAUACCCUGGUAGUCCAUGCCGUAAACGAUGAGUACUAAGUGUUGGGAGGUUUCCGCCUCUCAGUGCUGCAG